UAUUGGACAAUGGGCGCAAGCCUGAUCCAGCCAUGCCGCGUGGAUGAUGAAGGCCCUAGGGUUGUAAAGUACUUUCGGCGGGGAAGAUAAUGACGGUACCCGCAGAAGAAGCCCCGGCUAACUUCGUGCCAGCAGCCGCGGUAAUACGAAGGGGGCUAGCGUUGCUCGGAGUCACUGGGCGUAAAGCGCACGUAGGCGGACUCUUAAGUCGGUGGUGAAAUCCUGGAGCUCAACUCCAGAACUGCCUUCGAUACUGAGAGUCUUAGUCCGGGAGAGGUGAGUGGAACUGCGAGUGAGAGGUAAAUUCGAGUUUCGCAAGACACCAGUGGCAAGGCGGCUCACUGGCCCGUCUGCGUGCGUCAGAUCG
rnacentral:rRNA from 1 species